ensembl:lncRNA
AUUUGGAAGCAGCCUUUGAAGAGCAGAAGGAAGCAAUGGCACCUACAUAGCUGCAGCCCUGAUGGAGGCUGGCGUUGCCAGAUGCUGGGGUACAUUUCCUUGCAUCCCUUGAUGCUUUCCGCAAGCUCUUUGCUUUCUCUCCCUGCUCCUUAGAGACAGGGAGGGGAUCCCCCUUCCAAGCUGUGUGCCUGCAGCCUCUGAUUUAAAACAACAGAGUAGGAUGAGCUCUGUGCAGGACUCUGGUCUUUGAGUUACUGUGAUCAGACCCCAGUAAUGUCCUGUAAUGAAUCAGCACCUCAAAGACGAGGAAAAAGUUAGACGUGUGAAAAGAACUUUUCCGUAGAAGAAACAUCAACUUUACUGUUUUACCCUGUGGUGUGUGGUAAUUGCUGUUGAUUGUGGGGAGAAGCCAACCAGAGGAGAAAUGUAAUUUGUUGCUGUGGCUACUAGCUCCUAGAUUUAUCAUCUCUCCUCUUUCUCCCGGAGUGCUGUAAAAUACACCACAAACUCAGCACCUCCAAAGGACUGUUCUUCUUUAAAGCUUGGGUUUUUUGGUGUGUUUUAAGGUAAAUUGUAUCUGCAGAUCUACAGUACUGGUGAGUGCUGCAUCACUGUGGUCUUGUAUUGUGAUCACUCGGUGCUGACAUCUGUUCACGCCUUUGGGACUGCCCUUUAAACAUGCAGUGGUGGAAUGCUUUCCUGAUAAGUCUCAUCACGGGCAUUGGCUGAGGUGGAGCACAGCAGCUCUGUGCUCAGGUGUGGCAAAAGCACCUGGCGCACCAAUAAAGCAUGGCCAACAAGGAGUGUACAAGAGUGUAUUGCCAGUGCUGGCUAAUCCCUUAGAGCCAUCUGUCAGCACACUGUGCUGUAGAGACGAUCACGGGAAGUCCAAAGGCAGUUCGGUCCUGAACUCCAUGAGGGUGCUCGUGCUGGUGUAGCCAUGGUGCAGAGAAGAAAGCGCUGCUGAAGCCCUGGCCCUGUGCUCAGCUCUAUGUUUGUGAGAAAAAAGCCUUGGCACUGCCUUGAGUCCCCUGCCCAGCACCGUGACUGCCUGAAGUAGGGGGCGAUGGUGACUAGGACGAGUCUUGUGGCAAAGCAGGUCCUUCUCUACUACGCCGGGUGUAUAUCUCAGCCUGCACAUAUAGUUUACCUUUCAAGAAUAAAGAGACACAACAACUGCCCUACCAGCAUUUCAGGGUGGUAUUUAAGCGUGCAUUUAUGAGAGAAGAGCAGCUGUAUUGAAUUCCUGUCUGCACCAGAUUAGACCUUAAUGUCUGUUACCGAAGGUGCUGCUGUCAGCCUCGCUGACGCUUUGGCUUAUGAGAUGUGAGCUUGAACAAAGCACUAAAACUUCAGGGAACCAUCGCCUGCGUUGGGUUGGAAGGGACCCUGGGAUGCAUGUCGUCUGGCCCCGUAGGCUCGUGCACGUUCAGCCUUCUCAGUGGUAGCCUCUGCUCUGGCCGUGCCGAGGCCAGCUCCCUGGCAGCCCCACGCUGCCCUGCUUGCAGCAGCGGCCCCAGACAGGGCAGCUGCAGGCAGAGAGCUGGCACCCAGCACGGGGGCGCUGGGCAGGGGAGGGAGAUGGGCACCCAGGGAAGGGUUUGUGGCGUAGGAGUUGAGUCCGAUGGUCUGACGGUGCUGAGAAUAAACAGUUCCCUGCAGGAGCGACUGCAUAGAGAGCUGGCACCCAGAUAGGUGUUAGCCGUCUGAGGGUUCAGAGUCUCAGGGCUCUGGGAGUAAACUGCUGGAAAGCAGUGGCAUCUGGGUUUCUAAAUGGUUUUCUUUUGGACGGUCUUGCGCUGUUCUGCUCCCAGGCAGCAAAAUCGCCGUGGUGGUUAUGACUGACCGGUGUUGCACCACAAAGCAGUGGUCAGCCUGAGCAGAAUGAGAGGCCUUUUCAAAAUCUGCGUUUAUCACUUGCAAUUAAAUGCCUUCGUCCUCCUGUCUCAAAGCAGUGGCAACUGGUCUGCUUUGCAGACCAGUUUAGCAGCUCCUUUACAACAGCGCCUUCUUGAAGACAUCUUGUCCCCACCUACUCCAACAGGGCAAGGCCAGAGGUGGCCUGAAAAGGAGGGCCCCAGCGGCACCUUCCGUGGAGCGGAUCUGAAGGAGAGCUGCCCCAGAAGCUGCCCUGAGGCUGAGCCUGCGUGGCCGGCUGCUGCCGGGCAGGACAGGGCCCCGUCUGCAGCAGCUCCGGAGGAGGACAGGCAGCAGCAGCAUCAGGGGGUCUCUGCUCCCCGAGUGCCGUGCCAAAGCCCCUCCCUGGGUCGCGGGUGGCCGUGCAGCCUCAGGUGCAGCUCUCACACGGCCGGGCUGUGCUGCUGCAGCAGCAGCAGGCAGAGCCCUGCUCGGCCCUCUGCGCCCCUGGUGCGUGCUGCUACACAGUAACAGAGCUCGGGCUCUCAGGGUUCUGGAAGUCGCCGGUUUGACCAACCGACCUUUUCCCCGUUCCCUGUCCGUGUUUUGCCCUGGGAUUCCAGGUUUAGAGUUGACCUUUCAGAAAGAAAGAGACGCAAUGACUGCUCUACCACGAUUUCAGGGUGCACCAGAGUUUAUUGACGGUGCCCAGGUCCCCCCGCGCCCUCUCUGUGGCAGGAGGACCAUCCCAGCCCCGUCCUCGUAGCGGAGAUGCUCAGCUGUGUUCUUCCAGCACUCAGCCGCUGUUGGCUGGGCUCGGUGCAGUGCCCGGGUCUGUGGUGCCGGCAGCCCGCACCUGGGCACUGUGGGCUGAGCAAGGCUGAUCGGCGGGGAACGGAAGAAGGAGGUCGAGCUGCCGGUGGUCUUCUCCAACGCAGUGCAGGGAAGCGAGAUGGUCUCCAACGCAGCGAUGGUCAGCGAGAGCUGAGGCAGAAGAGCUGUGC